CCUACGGGAGGCUGCAGUGGGGAAUAUUGGACAAUGGGCGAAAGCCUGAUCCAGCCAUGCCGCGUGUGUGAAGAAGGCCUUCGGGUUGUAAAGCACUUUCAGUGGGGAAGAAAGCCUUGGGGCUAAUACCCUCGAGGAAGGACAUCACCCACAGAAGAAGCACCGGCUAACUCCGUGCCAGCAGCCGCGGUAAUACGGAGGGUGCGAGCGUUAAUCGGAAUUACUGGGCGUAAAGCGCGCGUAGGCGGUCUGAUAAGCCGGUUGUGAAAGCCCCGGGAUCAACCUGGGAACGGCAUCCGGAACUGUCAGGCUAGAGUGCAGGAGAGGAAGGUAGAAUUCCCGGUGUAGCGGUGAAAUGCGUAGAGAUCGGGAGGAAUACCAGUGGCGAAGGCGGCCUUCUGGACUGACACUGACGCUGAGGUGCGAAAGCGUGGGUAGCAAACAGGAUUAGAUACCCGGGUAGUC
rnacentral:rRNA from 1 species